UGUUAUGACACUGAAAGAUUGUGACUUCAAUCUUGAUAUGAACUCAUUUUUUUAGAAAUACAGGAAUAGCUAUGGCUAACUAUUUUUAAAGUCAUGGAUGUGUUUGGAAGACUUAGCCACAGGCGUUGCAAACAAGCCAAUAAUUUUCAACCCUGGUUGCAUUUUCCUGAAACUUGAGCUGACUAAUCUUCCCAACUUUACUGGAACUCCUUGUGACAAGGGCUGUUUCUUUUUUUUUUCAUUUUCAAUAACUUUUUCAUUUGCCUGGUCCUUUGCAGUAGAACGAGAAUUUGGCGUCAGCUUGUCUGGCUUUGAAGCCUAUGCCUUAACCACUAAAUUAUCACGCCUCUGAUAAUGCUUCAAAUAUUGUUUCAGGUGAACUGGUGCCAGGAAGAAAUUUAAAAUGUCACUCUCUUUGCCUGUUGAAUUGGGACAAGCAUGGUCCUGGAAACAAGUGAGAAAAAGGGAAGAGGAAGGGACACAGACUCUAUUACAAAAGCAAAGAACUUACCUGUGGGGAGAAUUUGCUGACUGACUGUAGCCAUGGUGACUAUCCAGUACUUUACAUCCUAACCUACUGUGUCGUGAACCACACAACCUGGCACAAGAUUCAAUUCUAGCAGGCACACUUUCCCUCUCAUCUCCCCAGGUGGAUUGAAAACUCCUCCAUGCUUAGCACAGUGUGAACACAGCAGGGUUUUGCUUAUGUCCAGGAAUUACAAUGUUCUUGUUUUCAGGUAACCAUAUACUACUGUUCUCAGACUCUCACAGAGUAGGGGGAAAGGAGGAAUAGCAACAAA